rnacentral:rRNA from 1 species
UACGUAGGGUGCAAGCGUUGUCCGGAAUUAUUGGGCGUAAAGAGCUCGUAGGCGGUCUGUUGCGUCGGCUGUGAAAACCCGGGGCUCAACCCCGGGCCUGCAGCCGAUACGGGCAGACUAGAGUUCGGCAGGGGAGACUGGAAUUCCUGGUGUAGCGGUGAAAUGCGCAGAUAUCAGGAGGAACACCGGUGGCGAAGGCGGGACUCUGGGCCGAUACUGACGCUGGAGGAGCGAAAGCGUGGGGAGCGAACAGG